rnacentral:misc_RNA from 1 species
GCCUAAGUCAUAUUGCCGGGAAAGCAGAUGAGUGUUCAGUUUGUGCUGGAACUGGAAAAUGUCAGCUCCGCCAGUGACAUACUUGUGAAGCUUAGCAAGACUUUGUUAUGUAGAGAGACUUUGUUACCUAUGCCAGUUGACUUAUUAGGGUCUGAAUGCUGAGUUACUGCCUCUUGGCAGUAGGUUCAAUUAUCCCAAAACUCAAGUUACUACGAGGACAUUGAUAUUUGGGAGCUGGUAAUAGCAUUUCAAAUACAAAUAUCAACUGGAGGAUGCUUAGUUACACCCCACCGCUGAUGGAGAGUUGUGAGUGCUGGACUGCAGUUCUGAUUAUCCUCGUCUUUUGUUAAUCAUUUAACUAUUGUAAAUCAUCAUUUGUUUCUUACUGAACUCAUAGCUGCCCAUCAGGUGCUGGU